rnacentral:rRNA from 1 species
AAUGAACGCUGGCGGCAUGCCUAACACAUGCAAGUCGAACGAAGUCUUCGGACUUAGUGGCGCACGGGUGCGUAACGCGUGGGAAUCUGCCCUUGGGUACGGAAUAACUCAGAGAAAUUUGUGCUAAUACCGUAUAAUGUCUUCGGACCAAAGAUUUAUCGCCCAAGGAUGAGCCCGCGUAGGAUUAGGUAGUUGGUGAGGUAAAAGCUCACCAAGCCGACGAUCCUUAGCUGGUCUGAGAGGAUGAUCAGCCACACUGGGACUGAGACACGGCCCAGACUCCUACGGGAGGCAGCAGUGGGGAAUAUUGGACAAUGGGCGCAAGCCUGAUCCAGCAAUGCCGCGUGAGUGAUGAAGGCCUUAGGGUUGUAAAGCUCUUUUACCAGAGAUGAUAAUGACAGUAUCUGGAGAAUAAGCUCCGGCUAACUUCGUG